UAUGGCAGUCAUUACAUCUUUCGGGGUAAAGUUUUUUUUCAAUGCGAAUGUUAGAAGACUUGCUUCUUCAUCUACGUGACACGUAGCAAUGGGUACAUACAUACUACAUGUGGAGUUCCCUUGAAUACCUGUCAUCAUCAGGUAAAAGGUAACCAGAGAAAAUAGGAAUACAAUUCAUAAUGAAAUACUUAAGGAAAUAAAUACCACUCUGAACUGUGUGACUUGUUUAUUAUAGAGCUAUGUAUAACUAAAA